AUUGAACGCUGGCGGCAGGCCUAACACAUGCAAGUCGAGCGAGCGGCGGACGGGUGAGUAAUGUCUGGGAAACUGCCUGAUGGAGGGGGAUAACUACUGGAAACGGUAGCUAAUACCGCAUACCAUCAGAUGUGCCCAGAUGGGAUUAGCUGGUAGGUGGGGUAAAGGCUCACCUAGGCGACGCUACCUAGCUGGUCUGAGAGGAUGACCAGCCACACAGGAACUGAGACACGGUCCAGACUCCUACGGGAGGCAGCAGUGGGUAAUAUUGCACAAUGGGCGCAAGCCUGAUGCAGCCAUGCCGCGUGUGUGAAGAAGGCCUUCGGGUUGUAAAGCACUUUCAGCGGGGAGGCGUUACACGCAGAAGAAGCACCGGCUAACUCCGUGCCAGCAGCCGCGGUAAUUC
rnacentral:rRNA from 1 species